GUUUACAUUGUGCAAUGCUCGCCGGUAUUUCUGAUGAUGUUGUAAAAAGAGCAGCUGAGAUACUGGAUGCAACUGGGAAGGGUAACCAUGUUGAGAGACUCUCUGAUGUGAAUAUACAGGCACAAGAUCAACAAUAUCAGGAAGCGCUUGAGAAACUAUUGGCGUUUGAUGCUAGAAAUGGCAACCUCGACCUCUUUUUUGAAGCUAUAUUCCGUGCUUAGGCCGGACGUCAAUACCGUCAAAAAUUUACAGCCCGAAGGUAAGACUAGGCCUUUGCUACACUUUUUAAAUUCCGUUUGCUAGUAAUUUUAUACCUUUAGGGCUUUAGGUUAUAUGAAUGGACACAUGAAACUUGUCAGCAACAUCUGCACUCUGUAGCACUUUUCAUUCAGAUGCAGUAAGUAUUGUAUCGAUAUUCAAUAAUUAAAUGGAAA